GACGAACGCUGGCGGCGUGCCUAAUACAUGCAAGUUGAGCGCUGAAGGUUGGUACUUGUACCAACUGGAUGAGCAGCGAACGGGUGAGUAACGCGUGGGGAAUCUGCCUUUGAGCGGGGGACAACAUUUGGAAACGAAUGCUAAUACCGCAUAAAAACUUUAAACACAAGUUUUAAGUUUGAAAGAUGCAAUUGCAUCACUCAAAGAUGAUCCCGCGUUGUAUUAGCUAGUUGGUGAGGUAAAGGCUCACCAAGGCGAUGAUACAUAGCCGACCUGAGAGGGUGAUCGGCCACAUUGGGACUGAGACACGGCCCAAACUCCUACGGGAGGCAGCAGUAGGGAAUCUUCGGCAAUGGACGAAAGUCUGACCGAGCAACGCCGCGUGAGUGAAAGAAAGGUUUUUCGGGAUUCGUAAAAACUCUGUUGGUUA
rnacentral:rRNA from 1 species